AGCAGCCGCGGUAAUUCCAGCUCCAAUAGCGUAUAUUAAAGUUGUUGCAGUUAAAAAGCUCGUAGUUGAAUUUCGGGAUCAGUUCGCCGGUCGUGCCUUGGUAUGUAUUGGUGUUACUGGUUCCUCCCUUCUGAAGAACUGUCAUGCCAUUUAUUUGGUGUGGCGGGGAAUCAGGACUGUUACUUUGAAAAAAUUAGAGUGUUUAAAGCAGGCUCGCGCUUGAAUACAUUAGCAUGGAAUAAUGAAAUAGGACGUUUGAUCCUAUUUUGUUGGUUUCUAGGAUUGACGUAAUGAUUAAUAGGGAUAGUUGGGGGCAUUAGUAUUCAAUUGUCAGAGGUGAAAUUCUUGGAUUUAUUGAAGACUAACUACUGCGAAAGCAUUUGUCCAAGGAUGUUUUCAUUAAUCAAGAACGAAAGUUAGGGGAUCGAAGACGAUCAGAUACCGUCGUAGUCUUAACCAUAAACUAUGCCGACUAGGGAUCGGAUGAUGUUAAUUUUUUAAUGACUCAUUCGGCGCCUUA
rnacentral:rRNA from 1 species